GAUGAACGCUAGCGGCAGGCCUAAUACAUGCAAGUCGAACGGUGUCUUCGGACAUAGUGGCGCACGGGUGCGUAACACGUAUGCAACCUACCUUACAUUGGGGGAUAGCCUUUCGAAAGGGAGAUUAAUACCGCAUAAGACAGUAGCUGGGCAUCCAGCAGCUGUUAAGGAUUUAUCGAUGUAAGCUGGGCAUGCGUCCAAUUAGCCAGUUGGUGAGGUAACGGCUCACCAAGGCAAUGAUUGGUAGGGGAACUGAGAGGUCAAUCCCCCACACUGGCACUGAGAUACGGGACAGGCUCCUACGGGAGGCAGCAGUAGGGAAUAUUGGGCAAUGGACGCAAGGCUGACCCAGCCAUGCCGCGUGCAGGAUGAAGGCGUUAUGCGUUGUAAACUGCUUUUAUACAGGAAGAAACGACUCUUGCGAGAGGCAUUGACGGUACUGUAUGAAUAAGCACCGGCUAACUCCGUGCCAGCCGCCGCGGUAAAAC
rnacentral:rRNA from 1 species